GAAAAUCCGUCGACUUUUAAAAUCGUGAGGGUUCAAGUCCCUCUAUCCCCA
rnacentral:tRNA from 16 species